UGAGCGCCGGUGGAAUCUGGAGCGAGAGAGCGGUAAAUAAUCUCACGUCCUUCUUAGUGGAGUUAGUUCUAAUUAAUGCAAAAAAAUAGAAAGAGAAAUGUUUCAAUUAGUGUCCUCUGACUCAUUAAAGCUGAAGAGCAACUAAAAAAAACCCCAAAAAAACCACUUAUUUGGCAUUUAUUCAUGUUUUUAUGAAAAUUAAACUUAAGUGGAUGUUCCCAAAUUGUUUUUCCAAAAAUAGCAGCAAAGUCCUCACAGGCCUCUCAUCCUCUGGGAAAUCAUGGGUCUCUGGGAAUAGAAAGUGGAGCGUGUCCACACAAAACAGAACAUUUCCUCCUGCCAACACUAUCAUUAGCUGCAAUUAUUUCAAGUGAGAUUUUUUCAUCAGGAAAAACAAAAUGCUGAAUUGGUUUAUGGAACUCAUUCUCAAGAAUAAUGUGGUGGAUAAAACAGCAAAUAUUAAAACGGCUCAGCUGACCCGUUUUGUUCAUGACAAGCCUUAAUGUGUAUAAUAAACAUGCCAUAGCAACUGGCAACCCCCUAUUCUGGCUGUAUUUCCUCCCAUCAAACAAAUUCUCCUGGAACAGCUGAAGGCUGAGUUCAGGUUAUUCAUUUUGCUUCUUCAAUGAUUUUUCUGUCACCACUAAAACUUCAUAGUAAUUUCAUGAUCUCUGCAUAGUUGCCAUUUCGCUGCAAGUCUUUCCGUGCAUAUUCCCCUUAAGUAGCCCAAACCACAUGGGUCAAUCUGUUUAACUGUGAUAGUAAUGACCACAUUUUCUUUAAACCCCAAUGCAGUAACACGACCUGAGAGGACCCUGGGUGUCUCCUGUCUCACAGGAAAAUGGCUAAAUGCUGAUCUGCCAGAGGACCACACUGACGGACAUUGAGCGGAUAUCGAACGGAGGCAGCGCAGCCACACGAAGAGUCUCCUCAAGUUCAAAAGUUCCCACUGUGAGGAAGCAACUAUUUCUGCUUUCAGUGCAGCUCGUGCACUCGUUAUGGAGUCAAACUCUCAGCCAACACUUAGCAUUUAUACCUCCACACUGCUGUGAGCUGGUCUGUCAAACAACAUAA
rnacentral:lncRNA from 1 species